rnacentral:ncRNA from 1 species
GUAAACAUUAUGAUUAGGGAAAGUAGGUUAAUCUAAGCAUUCAGAGAGAAAUCCAUAUGGUGAAAGGAUUUUAUGUGGAUAUUAAUUGAAGUGCUCCUAUGAAUGGUAGGUUGAAUAAAGUAGACUGUUCCGGAUUCUCCCGUUAUAGAGAAAUAAAGGUAGGCACUUCUGUGCUUAACCAGAGUGGAACCGUGAAAGUUAAACCUUUUGCCUCUGAU